GCCUUCGUGGUGUAGUGGUCAGCACGUUCGGCGCGUAUUUGAGAGGUCCGUGGUUCGAGUCCCGCCAAGGGCA
rnacentral:tRNA from 1 species